rnacentral:ncRNA from 2 species
UUAAACUAAAUAAGAAUCAUCCAUAUAAUCCCGAUAAUAUGGUUCGGGAGUCUCUACGAGGAAACCGUAAAUUUUCUGUCUAUGGGUGAGCGAUGGUGUUUU